GACGAACGCUGGCGGCGUGCUUAACACAUGCAAGUCGAACGAAGUCUUCGGACUUAGUGGCGGACGGGUGAGUAACACGUGGGAACGUGCCUUUAGGUUCGGAAUAACUCAGGGAAACUUGUGCUAAUACCGAAUGUGCCCUUCGGGGGAAAGAUUUAUCGCCUUUAGAGCGGCCCGCGUCUGAUUAGCUAGUUGGUGGGGUAAUGGCCCACCGAGGCUACGAUCAGUAGCUGGUCUGAGAGGAUGACCAGCCACGUUGGGACUGAGACACGGCCCAAACUCCUACGGGAGGCAGCAGUGGGGAAUCUUGCGCAAUGGGCGAAAGCCUGACGCAGCCAUGCCGCGUGGAUGAUGAAGGUCUUAGGAUUGUAAAAUCCUUUCACCGGUGAAGAUAAUGACUGUAGCCGGAGAAGAAGCCACGGCUAACUACGUGCCAGCCGCCGCCGUAA
rnacentral:rRNA from 1 species